rnacentral:rRNA from 1 species
UGCCAGCAGCCGCGGUAAUACGGAGGGGGUUAUCGUGGUUCGGAAUUACUGGGCGUAAAGCGCGCGUAGGCGGACUAGUCAGUCAGAGGUGAAAUCCCAGGGCUCAACCCUGGAACUGCCUUUGAUACUGCUAGUCUUGAGUUCGAGAGAGGUAAGUGGAAUUCCGAGUGUAGAGGUGAAAUUCGUAGAUAUUCGGAGGAACACCAGGGGCGAAGGCGACUUACUGGCUCGAUACUGACGCGGAGGUGAGCACGUGUGGGGCGCAAACAGGAGUAGAUC